rnacentral:rRNA from 1 species
CCGUAGCAAUACGGGGAAAGUGGCGAAAGGGGCAGUAAUGCAUGGGUAAUCUACCCCGGGGACGUGGAUAGCCAUCCUAACGGUUGGGUAAUACACGGCGAUUCGGUGAGGGGGCAUCCCUUUGCCGGGAAAUGAAUUUCGCCUCGGGAGGAGCUCAUGUGAUAUUAGCUUGUUGGCGGGGUAACGGCCCACCAAGGCUCAGAUGUCUAGCGGGUGUGAGAGCACGACCCGCGCCACUGGCACUGAGACACUGGCCAGACACCUACGGGUGGCUGCAGUCGAGGAUCUUCGGCAAUGGGCGCAAGCCUGACCGAGCGACGCCGCGUGUGUGACGAAGGCCUUCGGGUUGUAAAGCACUGUCGAGGGGGAGGAAGCCGAAAGGUUGACCUAUCCCUGGAGGAAGCACGGGCUAAGUUCGUGCCAGCAGCCGCGGUAAGACGAACCGUGCGAACGUUGUUCGGAAUCACUGGGCUUAAAGGGCGCGUAGGCGGGCCGCAAAGUCAGGGGUGAAAUCCUCCAGCUUAACUGGAGAAGUGCCUUUGAUACUGGCGGCCUUGAGGAAGGUAGGGGCAUGCGGAACUGAUGGUGGAGCGGUGAAAUGUGUUGAUAUCAUCAGGAACUCCGGUGGCGAAAGCGGCGUGCUGGACCUUUUCUGACGCUGAGGCGCGAAAGCCAGGGGAGCAAACGGGAUUAGAUACCCCGGUAGUCCUGGCCCUAAACGUUGAGUACUAGGUAGUAGUCUUGACAUGGGAUUACUGCCGAAGCAAAAGUGCUAAGUACUCCGCCUGGGGAGUAUGGUCGC